UUUCAGACAGUGCCUGACGAUGACUGAGACACUGCCCAGACUCCUACGGGAGGCUGCAGUCGAGAAUAUUUAGCAAUGGACGAAAGUCUGACUAUGCGACGCCGCGUGAGGGAUGAAGGAUUUCGGUUCGUAAACCUCUUUUGGCAGGGAAGAAAAUUUCAAAUCUAAUAGGUUUGAACCUGACGGUACCUGCAGAAUAAGCCACGGCUAACUCCGUGCCAGCAGCCGCGGUAAUACGGAGGUGGCAAGCGUUACUCGGAAUUAUUGGGUGUAAAGGGCAAGUAGGCGGCGUGAUAAGUGGGUGGUGAAAUACUUCUGCUCAACAGGAGAACUGCCUUCCAAACUAUCAUGCUUGAGUAUACCAGAGGAAAAGGGAAUUCUAGGUGUAAGGGUGAAAUCUGUAGAUAUCUAGAAGAACACCAGCGGCGAAGGCGCUUUUCUGGGGUAUUACUGACGCUAAAUUGCGAAAGCUAGGGGAGCAAACAGAAUUAGAUACUCUGGUAGUCCUAGCCGUAAACGAUGAGCACUAGAUGUCUGCUCCUUUAGGAGUAGGUGUCGCAGCUAACGCAUUAAGUGCUCCACCUGGGGACUACGGUCGCAAGGCUAAAACUCAAAGGAAUUGACGGGGGCCCGCACAAGCGGUGGAACAUGUGGUUUAAUUCGAAGCUACGCGAAAAACCUCACCAGGGCUUGACAUACAGGAAGUAGUGAAAUGAAAGUGGAACGACCCGUUAAGUCGGGAGCCUGAACAGGUGCUGCAUGGCUGUCGUCAGCCCGUGUCGUGAGAUGUUGGGUUAAGUCCCGCAACGAACGCAACCAUCAUCCUUUGUUGCCACUUAUAUCGAGCUUGCUCGGUAUGAAGCACUCUAAGGAGACUGCCCGGGAUAACCGGGAGGAAGGUGGAGAUGACGUCAAGUCAGUACGGCCUUUGUGCCCUGGGCGACACACGUGUUACAAUGGGUGGGACAAAGGGUUGCCAACCCGCGAGGGGGAGCUAAUCUCAAAAACCCACCCCCAGUUCAGAUCGCAGUCUGCAAUUUGACUGCGUGAAGCCGGAAUCGCUAGUAAUGGGAGAUCAGCACGCUCCCGUGAAUACGUUCCCGGGCCUUGUACACACCGCCCGUCAAGCGAUGGGAGUUAGGGGUACCCGAAGUGUCAUGUAGAUGACCCUAAGGUAAAACUAAUGACUGGCGCUAAGUCGGAACAAGGUAGCCGUACG
rnacentral:rRNA from 1 species